UACAGAGGGUGCAAGCGUUAAUCGGAAUUACUGGGCGUAAAGCGCGCGUAGGUGGUUCGUUAGUGGAUGUGAAAUCCCCGGGCUCAACCUGGGAACUGCAUUCAAAACUGUCGAGCUAGAGUAUGGUAGAGGGUGGUGGAAUUUCCUGUGUAGCGGUGAAAUGCGUAGAUAUAGGAAGGAACACCAGUGGCGAAGGCGACCACCUGGGACUGAUACUGACACUGAGGUGCGAAAGCGUGGGGAGCAAACAGG
rnacentral:rRNA from 1 species